GAUGAACGCUGGCGGCGUGCCUAAUACAUGCAAGUCGAGCGAACGGACGAGAAGCUUGCUUCUCUGAUGUUAGCGGCGGACGGGUGAGUAACACGUGGAUAACCUACCUAUAAGACUGGGAUAACUUCGGGAAACCGUAGCUAAUACCGGAUAAUAUUUUGAACCGCAUGGUUCAAAAGUGAAAGACGGUCUUGCUGUCACUUAUAGAUGGAUCCGCGCUGCAUUAGCUAGUUGGUAAGGUAACGGCUUACCAAGGCAACGAUGCAUAGCCGACCUGAGAGGCUGCUCGGCCACACUGGAACUGGGACACGGUCCAGACUCCUACGGGAGGCAGCAGUAGGGAAUCUUCCGCAAUGGGCGAAAGCCUGACGGAGCAACGCCGCGUGAGUGAUGAAGGUCUUCGGAUCGUAAAACUCUGUUAUUAGGGAAGAACAUAUGUGUAAGUAACUGUGCACAUCUUGACGGUACCUAAUCAGAAAGCCACGGCUAACUACGUG
rnacentral:rRNA from 1 species